AGUGCUCAGAGCGUGGGUUAACUCUAGUCUCCUAUCAGGUGUGUAUUUCUCACUACUCUAGCUGUAGGAUGGCUACUUCGGGCCGCGAUGGGCCGAAAGGGGCCAUGUGGGCCCAAUGGGCCUACGAGCCCAAUUGGAUAAGUUGUUUGAUUGUGUAGUAAAUAUUGGACUAGGCUAGGUGAAUCUUAUAUCUGUGGCUAGAUUUGGGCUAAAAGGGCCACACGAGCGUGUGGGCCCAUUUGGGUCGAGAAGGGCUGUAGGGCCAUUCGUAUUGUUAUCCCUAUUUAGAAUACUUUAGUUUACCAAAUUACUGAAAUACCCUCGACUUGUAAAAUUACCAAAGUACCCCCAAUUUAUAAAAUUACCUAAAUAUCCUCGAUUUGUAAAAUUACUGAAAUACCGUCAAUUUGCAAAAUUACUGAAAUACUCCUAUAAGAUAUAAUUACCUUUUUACCCUCGAUUGACAGAAUUAUCGUUUUACCCUCAAUUUAUAAAAUUACCAUUUUACCCUCGAUUUAUAGAAUUACCGUCUUACCCUUGAUUUGCAGAAUUACCAUUUUACCCUCGAUUUACAAAAUUACUGAAAUACCCUUGGUUUAUAAAAUUACCAAAAUACCCUUGGUUUGUAAAAUUACUCAAAUACCCCUGCUUUGUAAAAUUACUAAAAUACCCCCUAAUUUGUAAAAUUACUGAAAUACCCUCGACUUGUAAAAAUUAUUAAAGUACCCUCGAUUUAUAGAAUUACUAUUUUACCCUCGAUUUACAAAAUUAAUGUUUUACCUUUGAUUUACAAAAUUACCAUUUUACCCUCGAUUGUGAAAUUACUGAAAUACCCCUAUAGGGUAGAAUUGCCAAAACACCCCUAGUUUGUAAAAUUAUCAAAAUACCACUGGUUUGUGAAAUUACCGAAAUACCCUCAAUUUGUAAAAUUACCAAAAUACCCCUGAUUUACAAAAUUACAGAAAUACCCUUGAUUUGUAGAUUUACCAAAACACCCUUGUAGGAUGAAAAGACUAAAAUACCCCUAAUAAGUAAAAAGACCGUAAAGCCCCUGUAGGGUAAGGUGACCAUAAUACCCUUGUAUGGUAAAAUGAUGAAUACGCCAUUAUGUUCCGUAUGACUGAUGUGCUUAGGAUUUACAUAUAUUGAUAUUGGAAUAGUUAAGUUUGAGUGACAGGUGGUGGUUAUCGUAAGUGAUUGAUUAUGGAAACGUUUCAACUUCAACCCGUAACAGGUGUAUACUAACCCUCGUAAUAGCUUAGAUUAAUAUUUGCUGAGAAGCCGAAAUGCUAAAAUACCGGUAUUUCGGGAACUUGUGAUUUUGCCUUUUCUUAAAGUACGAUAGAUACGAUAUGAUUGAUGGUUGGAUCGAUGGAACAGGUAAGAGCACAAUUUUGUGCAUGAUGGUAAGUUGGGCCUCAAUGGGCUGGAAUUGGGCCCAAUGGGCUUUCGGGCCCAUUUGGGUAAAAUUGAUAGAAAAUGGAAUUUGGAAAAGUUACAUGAUAACACGGUUAGUACUGUUGUAAAAUUUGGAUUAAGUAGGCUUAGUGGGCUAAAUAGGCAUUCGUAGGGCCCAUUAGAGGUUUUGGGCCCAAAAGCCCGAGUUUGAUAAAGUGGGUUAAAGAUCAUUGUUUAAACACUCGAAACUAUUGAUAAUUGUUUUCAAAAUAAUGCAAUGACACAGUUAAUCGGUAUAUCAAAAAUAUCUACUUAAAUGAAUUCUAACUCGUUUUCCUCAAAACCUAACCUCGCACCAAAGUGUGGCAAUGGUUGUGGUCAUGUCUAGGAUUGGAUCCAUUUGAAGAGCUUGGUACUUAAGCAACCUUCAUGGCUCACCUCUUCUGUUUUUGGAUACCUACCGGGUGUGCAACUUCCAUUCACUUGGUUAAGCCUUAUGAAACGACGGUUUUUUUAAAACACUAAAACAAAGCGUGGAUUUUUAACUUCAAUGUGGCACGUCAGAUUUGGCCAUUACGUCUGGGCCGGGUUUAGGGUGUUACAUUUAAUGGUAUCAGAACCAGGUUACAAAACUCAGCUGUGGUAUGGGUAGUAGAAAAUUAUUGUUGUUUUUCUUUUUUCGAAAUUGGGGUUUGAAAAAGGUUUUUCUAAAAUUUUGUUUUGAAAUCUCUCAACGAAACUUGACUUGUUUCUGAAAAGAUGUUACUGGAGGUGCGGCACACUGAGUCUCCGGCACCAAAUAUGUAAGUUCUCAAACUCUGUUUACUGUUAUAGAUUGGAAUGCUAUAUUGAGAAACCACUAUAGAUAGUAGCACUAUACUGAAACUCUCUAGUUAAGAGUAAACUGUAAUGGUUGAAUUUAGAUUUAGUAUUUAUUUGGUGUGUGUUCUGGAAAUGUAGAAAUUGGUUGCAUGUGAAAUCUAUCCGCUCCGAUGGACAAAUGUUUUGGGUGUAUGUUAGUAUUAUUAGUAUCAGAGUGCGCAGCGGAAGUGUGGUGGUGUAGUCUGAGAGUGGAAAAUUUCGAGGAUGAAAUUUCUUUAAGGGGGGAGAAUUGUAACACCCCGAAUUUGGGCCUAGAAGUAUUGGGCCUUGAGUGGGGGUCCGUAAGGAGGUUGUAUAUAGGCAUUUAAUUGUGCAAUGAAAUGAAACAAUUAAAUGUUUGCUUUAGUGGUUAGUGGCAUUGAGAAGUGUUAGAGAAAUCUUGGGUUUAAACUUGGGCUUUAGCAAAAAUUUUGGUAUUAAGUGAAAAAAAACUUGGAUGCUUGGAUGAGGGCUUUUAAAUUAUUGUGGUAAAUAAAUGACACAAGGAAGCAUGUAGUCUAGUGGUUGAGGGGUCAUUAAGGUUGUAUAGGAGCCUGGGUUCAAGCCUUGGCUCUUGCAAUUUAUUUUGGUUUUUUUUUAGGGAACCUGGACUUUGACCUUUAGACCUUAUAAUUAAUUGGGGAUAAAAUAUGACACAAAAAGCCUUGUGGUUUAGUGGCAAGUAGCAUGUGGAGCAUUUGAGGGGAGGCAUGGGUUCGAAUCCCAUGGCAAGCAAGGAGCAUUUAUUUUGCUAACAGGGGGCGACAAGAGUUGGUGUUGAAUUUAAACUCUGAUGAUGGAGGGAUCCCACAUCAGGAAGCUAACAUAAGAGGAGAUGCGAAUAUGGCUUUAAAUAGAGAGAACCAUGAGGAGAGUAGAGGUACCUUUCUUGGUUGCUCCCUUUCGCUGUAUGGCGUGCUCGUUUGGAUUAGGCGUCGUCUAAGAGUGCUCGGAGCGUGGAUUAACUCUAGUCUCCUAUCAGGUGUGUAUUUCUCACUACUCUAGCUGUAGGAUGGCUACUUCGGGCCGUGAUGGGCCGAAAGGGGCCUACGGGCCCAAUUGGAUAAGUUGUUUGAUUGUGUAGUAAAUAUUGGACUAGGCUAGGUGAAUCUUAUAUCUGUGGCUAGAUUUGGGCUAAAAGGGCCACACGAGCGUGUGGGCCCAUUUGGGCUGAGAAGGGCUUUAGGCCCAUUCGUUUUGUUAUCCCUGUUUAGAAUACUUUAGUUUACCAAAUUACUAAAAUACCCUCGACUUGUAAAAUUACCAAAGUACCCCCAAUUUAUAAAAUUACCCAAAUAUCCUCGAUUUGUAAAAUUACUGAAAUACCCUCAGUUUGCAAAAUUACUGAAAUACCUUCGAUUUUGUAAAGUUACUGAAAUACUCCUGUAAGAUAGAAUUACCAUUUUACCCUCGAUUGACAGAAUUACCGUUUUACCCUUGAUUUAUAGAAUUACCAUUUUACCCUCGAUUUACAGAAUUAUCGUCUUACCCUCGAUUUACAGAAUUACCAUUUUACCCUCGAUUUACAAAAUUAUUGAAAUACCCUUGGUUUACAAAAUUACCAAAAUACCCCUAGUUUGUAAAAUUACUAAAAUACCCCUGGUUUGUAAAAUUACUAAAAUACCCCCUGAUUUGUAAAAUUACUGAAAUACCCUCGACUUGUAAAAAUUACCAAAGUACCCUCGAUUUAUAGAAUUAUUGUUGUACCCUCGAUUUACAGAAUUACUAUUUUACCCUUGAUUUAAAAAAUUACCGUUUUACCCUCAAUUGUGAAAUUACUAAAAUACCCCUAUAGGGUAGAAUUACCAAAACACCCCUAGUUUAUAAAAUUACCAAAAUACCGCUGGUUUGUGAAAUUACUGAAAUACCUUCAAAUUGUAAAAUUACCAAAAUACCCCUGAUUUACAAAAUUACAGAAAUACCCUUGAUUUGUAGAUUUACCAAAAUACCCUUGUAGGAUGAAAAGACUAAAAUACCCCUAAUAGGUAAAAAGAUCGUAAAGCCCCUGUAACGUAAAGUGACCGUAAUACCCUUGUACGGUAAAAUGAUGAAUACGCCCUUAUGUUCCGUAUGACUGAUGUGCUUAGGAUUUACAUAUAUUGAUAUUGGAAUAGUUAAGUUUGAGUGACAGGUGGUGGUUAUCGUAAAUGAUUGAUUAUGGAAACGUUUCAACUUCAACCAGUAACAGGUGUGUACUAACCCUCGUAAUAGCUUAGAUUAAUAUUUGUUGAGAAGCCGAAAUGCUAAAAUACCGGUAUUUCGGGAACUUGUGAUUUUGCCUUUGCUUAAAGUGCGAUAGAUACGAUAUGAUCGGUGGUUGGAUCGAUGGAACAGGUAAGAGCACAAUUUUGUGCACGAUGGUAAGUUGGGCCUCAAUGGGCUAGAAUUGGGCUCAAUGGGCUUUCGGGCCCAUUUGGGUAAAAUUGAUAGAAAAUGGAAUUUGGAAAAGUUGCAUGAUAACACUGUUAGUACUGUUGUAAAAUUUGGAUUAAGCAGGCUUAGUGGGCUAAAUCGGCAUUCGUAGGGCCCAUUAGAGGUUUUGGACCCAAAAGCCCGAGUUUGAUAAAGUGGGUUAAAGAUCAUUAUUUAAACACUUGGAAAUAUUGAUAGUUGUUGAUGAACAUGGAAAACCCUGAUAUUUGGUAAAAUUAUGAAAUUACCCUUGUAGUAUGAAAAUGACUUUUUUGCCCUUAGGUAAAAAUAACCAUUAUACCCCUAGAGUUUAAUUAUAAAUUUGAUACGUGGGAUAUGAUAUACAUGAUUGAUAUGAUAUGCACAUGAUAUGUAUGAAAUGCACAUGAUGUAUUCAUAAAUGCAUUGGGUUGGUUUUUAUAUGGAUGGAGGAAGUGCAAAAGGGCUUAUGCCCCAGUUUAUUGAAAAGGGCUUAUGCCCCAGUUUAUCGAAAAGGGCUUAUGCCCCAGUUUAUUGGAAAGGACUUUGCCCCAGUUUACCGAAAAGGGCUUAGCCCCAGUUAUUAAAAGAGGCUAGGCCUCUAGAUAUAUAAUAAAGCAACUAUGCUGCCAGUGGUGUGUUGGUUGGGUGGGUAGAAUCAUUCCUCACAUGGUGUGUUGGUUGGUACGGGUGGAGAGUAGCAGAUGGUGGGUCGAGUAGUCUCCCCAAAUGGGCUUGCAUACAUUCAUUGGUAUUUCAUAUGAUAUUGGAAUGGGCUUGCAUACAUCUAUUGACAUUACAUGUGAUAUUGAAAUGGGCCUAUGGGCCAUACUGUUUACAGUAAAGGCUUCAGCCCAGUGAAAUGAUUUAUGAAAAGGCUUCGGCCCAGUGAUAUGAUUUAUGAAAAGGCUUCGGCCCAGUAACUAUUAAACGAAAGGCUUCGGCCCAGUAUAUGUCAAGACUAAAUCGGGCUUUGGCCCAGAUUGUACUGAUACUGUGUUUUCACUAUUUGUAUGUUAUUGGGAUUACACACUGUGUUUUCGUAAACUCACCCCGUUUCUAACUGUGCAGGUAAUCCCUAUGCUUAGAUGGUUUGGAGCUGCGAGGGACUCGGAGAUGGCUACACUACUGUUUCUGUUUCUUUUAAUUGCAAUAAGUAGCCAAUUUAUUUCUUUAUAAGUUUUAUCUUAUUAAUAUUAUUAUUUGGUUUUGGGUUGCAAUAAGGCCAUUUUAAUUAUUUUUCUGGGAUUAUUUUAUUU
rnacentral:lncRNA from 1 species